GCUCUUAUAACAUAAUGGCAGUGUGCAAGACUUUGAAUCUUGAGGUAGAGGUUCGAUUCCUCUUAAGAGCG
rnacentral:tRNA from 1 species